UACGGAGGGUGCAAGCGUUGUCCGGAAUCACUGGGCUUAAAGGGCGCGUCGGCGGGCUGCCGCGUCCGGGGUGAAAUCCUCCGGCUCAACCGGGGAAGGGCCUCGGGUACGGGCGGCCUCGAGGGGGGUAGGGGCGUGCGGAACUGUGGGUGGAGCGGUGAAAUGCGUUGAUAUCCACAGGAACUCCGGUGGCGAAGGUGGCACGCUGGACCCGCCCUGACGCUGAGGCGCGAAAGCCAGGGGAGCGAACGGG
rnacentral:rRNA from 1 species